GUCUAGGACUGCGGAGGAUCAUUAACGCGCAGGGCCGGAGGCUGGCCCCCCACGAUAGGGACCGACGUUCCAUCAGGGGUGAGCAGACGUGCGCCGGCCGUACGCCCCCAUUCUUGUCUACCUCACCCGGUUGCCUCGGCGGGCCGCGCUCCCCCUGCCAGGGAGAGCCGUCCGGCGGGCCCCUUCUGGGAGCCUCGAGCCGGACCGCGCCCGCCGGAGGACAGACACCAAGAAAAAAUUCUCUGAAGAGCUGUCAGUCUGAGCGUUUAGCAAGCACAAUCAGUUAAAACUUUCAACAACGGAUCUCUUGGUUCCGGCAUCGAUGAAGAACGCAGCGAAAUGCGAUAAGUAAUGUGAAUUGCAGAAUUCCGUGAAUCAUCGAAUCUUUGAACGCACAUUGCGCCCUCUGGCAUUCCGGGGGGCAUGCCUGUUCGAGCGUCAUUUCAACCCCUCAAGCCCGGCUUGUGUGAUGGACGACCGUCCGGCCCCUCCCUUCGGGGGCGGGACGCGCCCGAAAAGCAGUGGCCAGGCCGCGAUUCCGGCUUCCUAGGCGAAUGGGCAGCCAAUUCAGCGCCCUCAGGACCGGCCGCCCUGGCCCCAAUCUUUAUAUAUAUAUAUAUCUUUUCAGGUUGACCUCGGAUCAGGUAGGGAUACCCGCUGAACUUAAGCAUAUCAAUAAGCCGGAGGAAAAAGAAAAAGGGAGUGUUUUGCCCCAGGUUUCUGCUUACCUUGUUUCUUCUUUCCUCGUGUUUCCUUUCUCUUCGUCCUUCCUCUUUUCUGCCCCCGCCUGC
rnacentral:rRNA from 1 species